GGCGCCGCUGCCGGGGAAUGGCGGCGCUGCGGGUGCUGGAGCUCUACAGCGGCAUCGGGGGGAUGCACCAAGCCCUGAAAGAAAGCUGCACACCUGCAGAAGUUGUUGCUGCUGUUGAUGUGAACACUCUUGCCAAUGAAGUUUAUAAGCACAACUUUCCCAGCACGCCAUUAUGGGCAAAGACAAUUGAGGGCAUAACAUUGAAAGAAUUUGACAGAUUAUCUGUUGACAUGAUUUUGAUGAGUCCUCCCUGUCAGCCAUUCACAAGAACUGGCCUGCAAGGUGAUGUAUCCGACCCACGGACAAAGAGCUUUCUCUAUAUCCUUGAUAUUCUCCCAAGGCUCCAGAAGCUUCCAAAAUACUUACUCCUAGAAAAUGUUAAAGGUUUUGAAUCCUCAUCUGCAAGAAAGGAGCUUUUGCAAACACUACAAACAUGUGGAUUUCAAUACCAGGAAUUUCUGUUGUCUCCAACCUGUCUUGGCAUUCCCAAUUCUAGGCUGCGAUAUUUUCUAAUUGCAAAACAUCACCAAGAACCAUUUUCCUUUCAAGCUCCUGGUCAGAUUUUGACAAGAUUCCCAGAUCAGGAUCUUGAACACUUAGUCGAGAACAAAGUUGCUGACAAAGUGGGUGAAGUUAGUUCUUCCUCCUCCUCUGAGGAGAAGAACCUGGAUCCAAACAUUGAUCCCGAUUGCAGCGGCGAGAUUUUACCAAAAGGAGCUUUUCUUUUUAAGCUUGAAACAGUAGAAGAAAUGGAAAGGAAGCUUGGUCAGGACAAUGAUUCCUCUAUUCAAAUGCUAAAAGAUUUCUUAGAAGAGGAAAAUGAAGAAAUGAGUCAUUUCUUCUUACCACCAAAGUCCUUGCUGCGCUACGCUUUCUUGUUAGACAUCGUUAAUCCCUCCUGCCGGAGAUCCACAUGUUUUACAAAAGGCAAGGUUUGUGUGAGGAGGAUAAUCCAGGUAUCCCUCCUCUGGUCUUUGAUCAUUCGGGGACCUCAAACACCAAGAUUUCAUCCCCCGUUUGUUGCCUUUCUGCCUUUGUCAAUACCAGUAUGUCUUCUGAAAGCUUUGGUGGACAAAGUACAACAGCUGUGAUGCAUGAGAGAUCAAGCAGAUGACUCUGUUCCCAUCUGACCUUGGACUCCUAGGCAAUUGGAAAAUGAUUGCCGAGUUCCUUGAGACUACAAACACCUGUGUGACAGAAGUUGUGAGAGGAAUUUGUCCAGUUUAAAGGACACUGUAGAGGAAAACUUCUUUACAUACAAUCAUUCUGGACUUACUUGUAAAUUCUUGAUACAAUGUUGUCAAGAGAAGCAAUACCUUCUAAAACAGAGUUGCAGAAACUCUCUCUAGCACUGUGGAAAUUACACUGUUUGUUAAUCAUAACACAGGACACAAUAUACCCAGAAAUAACAGAUCAGGUGUGAAGUUAAAAGGGCUUUUUUGAAAGCUUGUGGAAAUGGGGGAAGAAAGAUGUUGAGUCAGAUGAAAAUGGAUUACUGUAAUUUCUUAAGCCACCUACUUCCACUAUAAUUGGUAAUGAAAUGUGGGAAAAUCAAUGCAUCAUUUUUUACUGUGGUAAAUAUUCCUGUCUUUGAUGUUCUGAAUCUGAGGGAGGAAUGCUAAUUUUUCUGUAGUCAGCAGCUGCAAUAAUAAUUAAUAACAAUCCAGCUAACAUCUGACCACAUUUGUGAUAAAAACCCAAUACUCCCUCUCUCAGCCCUUGAACCGCUUUUACAACAACUGGAUUGUUUUUGUGAGGAGUUCUGUAUUCUCAUUCCACUUACUUAGACUGGAGGAUUCUGUACAACAGGAAUCCUAUUGAAUCCUAUUGAAAGAUUCUUCUCCCCCAGUAAAAGUAUAAAGUACCAUUCUUAUACUUAUCCUCAUUUACUUAUUUUGGCUCAGAUACACUAAUCUGAGGUAGGCUCAGAUGCUAUGUAAGAAGAUUCCUUAGUGCUCUGUGUGUAACACUGUGUAACCUAUUGAAGGCAAUGUAUUUACAGCACAGUUCCAUUCCAUGUGUUUUGAAUGUUCAUCAGUGUUCAAGGCCUUUUGUUCUGAUGCAAAGCAAGAUUUGCAAGCACUUUAUUUUAAAAUGAGUCAUGAGAAGUACUUGUAAGGUUUUUUUUCCUACUGAAGAGGAAAUGCUCAGGAUUGAGCCGUGCUGAGUCAUUGUGUCUGUGCUGAAGGAAGAGUGUUCCUUUACUCCUUGUGGAAUUAAAAAAGCUUGAGACAAAAGUUGUUUCAGUGCCUUGCUUUAGAAGGAGUCCCAAGUGCAGUAAAAGACCUUUAUAAUUAUCUUUACAGAUGUGCAGAUAAAACUAGAGACUAGGAUCUGUUAAUGACUGAUGCAGACCACAUCCCUCUAACUCAGGGGAUCUUCUGAAGUUCUUCCACUGUGCAAAAGCCAUCUGUUGGCUCAGUCUCUUUCUGUUCAGGAAGUUCAAACACUACCAUAGUUAGACCAGCAGACUAUGUUUCUGAAAGCCCAUGAUUAUAUUUAAAUGCUAGCCUACAGAGACUACAAAGUAAACGUGUUGUUAUGCAAUCAACCACAAAGCAUACUGCUCUGCAUAGAUGCCUGGCCAUCCCCCAUCCCUUCCCCCUGUGGUAAAUCCACAAGUAACCAAAAGUCCAACCUGGCAGAACCACUUAGUCCCUAAUGGAUUGAUAAGACAAGCUGAAGGCUCAUGCUGAUGGUCCUCCUUUGAAUACUGAGAGCUGUUUUGAACCCCUGGGACCAUUUGACCUUUAACAUGUUUUGCCUUUAUGUAAAAUGGGUCUGUGCAGUGUAGAUAGCCCUUUCUGAUGAUGCUAUGCUUGAGUUUCAUGGCCCUGUAUUUAUAGUAUUUGCCUAGUUGCCUUAUGUAAGGCAUUAGUGUAGAUAAAGCCUUGUGAGCUGGUGGCAGACUCACCCCUAGACAGGACUACUGCAGAGGCUACUGCACUCCAAGGGUAUGGACACUAUGUAGAAGGGACUGGCUCAGUUCUGCAGACAGCAGUAGAUGUACAGCUUGAAUCAGUGUUUAAACACAUUGAGGAG